rnacentral:sRNA from 1 species
CUUUCCAGCCUCACGCCCGUGGGCUGCAGUUGGAACGAUGGCGGCGGCAGCUGCCGCCGGGCCUAGCCCGGGGUCUGGACCUGGGGACUCCCCAGAAGGGCCCGAGGGGGAGGCUCCGGAGCGUCGGCGGAAGGCGCACGGGAUGCUGAAGCUUUACUACGGCCUCUCGGAAGGGGAGGCGGCGGGACGCCCCGCGGGGCCCGACCCCCUGGACCCGACUGAUCUGAACGGGGCGCACUUCGACCCGGAAGUUUACCUAGACAAGCUGCGUAGAGAGUGCCCUCUGGCCCAGUUGAUGGACAGUGAGACGGACAUGGUGCGGCAGAUCCGGGCUCUAGACAGCGACAUGCAGACCCUGGUCUAUGAGAACUACAACAAGUUCAUCUCAGCCACAGGUGAUCCCCACGGGGACACACCCUCCAAAGU